rnacentral:rRNA from 1 species
GGGGAAUCUUCCGCAAUGGACGAAAGUCUGACGGAGCAACGCCGCGUGAGUGAUGACGGCCUUCGGGUUGUAAAGCUCUGUUAAUCGGGACGAAAGGCCUUCUUGCGAAUAGUUAGAAGGAUUGACGGUACCGGAAUAGAAAGCCACGGCUAACUACGUGCCAGCAGCCGCGGUAAUACGUAGGUGGCAAGCGUUGUCCGGAAUUAUUGGGCGUAAAGCGCGCGCAGGCGGAUUGGUCAGUCUGUCUUAAAAGUUCGGGGCUUAACCCCGUGAUGGGAUGGAAACUGCCAAUCUAGAGUAUCGGAGAGGAAAGUGGAAUUCCUAGUGUAGCGGUGAAAUGCGUAGAUAUUAGGAAGAACACCAGUGGCGAAGGCGACUUUCUGGACGAAGACUGACGCUGAGGCGCGAAAGCCAGGGGAGCGAACGGGAUUAGAUACCCCGGUAGUCCUGGCCGUAAACGAUGGGUACUAGGUGUAGGAGGUAUCGACCCCUUCUGUGCCGGAGUUAACGCAAUAAGUACCCCGCCUGGGGAGUACGGCCGCAAGGUUG